rnacentral:tRNA from 1 species
GGGCCCGUAGCUCAGCAGCAGAGCGCCUGUUUCGCAUACAGGAGGCCGCGAGUGCGAUUCUCGCCGGGUCCA